CCAGGAGCAGGGCAGCGUCUGUGAACAGGUACCUUCCGUGGGAUCAGCAGCUUCACUUCUGAAGUGAGACCCCUUCCGUGGCGAGGCUGGACUCCAUUGUUUUACUUUGUUUUCUUUUAUUCUGUUUUGAGACAGGGUCUCACACUGUGUCCCAGACUGGUCUGAAACUAUCUAUGUGUAGCCCAGGCAGAAGUGGCAUACGCAGCAAUUCUCCUGUCUCAGUGUCCUGGCUGCUGAGCUUGCAGGCUGACAGUUUGAUGCAGGAUCUCCCAGUGACCAAUCAGGCUAGACUGACCGGCAAGCAAGCUCUCUGGUGCCUGGAUUAUGUGCCUGGAUUAUGAACGCUCAUUACCACACCUCGCUUUGGUUUCAUGAAGGUUCUGGGGUCACACUCACCCCCACUGCACAGCCACCAUCAGCUGUGUCCUCUGGACAUUCUGACAGGUUGUUAGAACUGUUUCUGAGAAAAUAUGAUUCCCCACCCCAGCUUCAGCAUGGAUCCGGGCACCCCUGACAUUCAGUGGCACUCACUUCUGCUAAUAGGGAUCUUAGAGAUGAUCUUGGAGACGGAAGGCAUCAGUCCAAAAUGGCCACACAGCAAAUACAAACGGUGAGCCAGACAACUUGUCUCGGUGACACCUGAAUCAAGGCAGGGACCUUGUGUCACAAAGGGAGCAGCAGCCAUAAAUAUCCACAGUGGUGUGAAAUACCAGAAUGCUCUCCACAGCCCAUGAAAUGGACAUAAAUGUUUACUUCACACUAUAAUUAUGAAGAGGGGCCAUGGAUCGCCAUAAAACCCUAAAGAUUGAUGCUAAACCAACCACCUCCUUAGUAUCAUAAAUUCUGCCUGCGGUUAUAUGCAGUAUUUAAUAAACAUUAAUGAAAAUUUUGUUUAUAACACAUUUUUUUUUAAAAAAAUGGGGCUGGUG
rnacentral:lncRNA from 1 species